rnacentral:rRNA from 1 species
UCCGUAGGCGGUGUGGCAGGUCGGUAGUGAAAUCUCUCGGCUUAACUGAGAGGCUGCUGCCGAAACUGCCAUGCUCGAGUGCGAGAGAGGCGAGUGGAAUUGCGGGUGUAGCGGUGAAAUGCGUAGAUAUCCGCAGGAACAUCCGAGGCGAAAGCGGCUCGCUGGAUCGCAACUGACGCUGAGGGACGAAAGCUAGGGGAGCAAACAGGAUUAGAUACCCUGGUAGUCCUAGCCCUAAACCAUCAGGACUUGGGGUUUGCCCUGUACGGGGCAAGUCCCGGAGCUAACGCGUUAAGUCCUGCGCCUGGGGAGUACGGUCGCAAGGCUGAA